rnacentral:rRNA from 1 species
UGCUGCAUGGCUGUCGUCAGCUCGUGUCGUGAGAUGUUGGGUUAAGUCCCGCAACGAGCGCAACCCUUGUCAUUAGUUGCCAUCAUUGGUUGGGCACUCUAAUGAGACUGCCGGUGACAAACCGGAGGAAGGUGGGGAUGACGUCAAGUCCUCAUGGCCCUUAUGGGUAGGGCUUCACACGUCAUACAAUGGUCGGUACAGAGGGUUGCCAACCCGCGAGGGGGAGCUAAUCCCACAAAGCCGAUCGUAGUCCGGAUCGCAGUCUGCAACUCGACUGCGUGAAGUCGGAAUUGCUAGUAAUCGUGGAUCAGCAUGUCACGGUGAAUACGUUCCCGGGUCUU